UACGUAGGGUCCGAGCGUUAUCCGGAUUUACUGGGCGUAAAGGGUGUGCAGGCGGGCUGUUAAGUGGUGUAUGAAAUAUCCCGGCUCAACCGGGAGAGGUUAUGCCAGACUGGCAGUCUAGAGAGCGAGAGAGGGACGUGGAAUUCCGGGUGUAGUGGUGAAAUGCGUAGAGAUCCGGAGGAACCCCAGAGGCGAAGGCGGCGUCCUGGCUCGCAUCUGACGCUCAGACACGACAGCAUGGGGAGCGAACGGG
rnacentral:rRNA from 1 species